rnacentral:rRNA from 1 species
AUCUUCCACAAUGGACGGAAGUCUGAUGGAGCAACGCCGCGUGCGGGAUGACGCUUUUCGGAGUGUACCCCGCUGUUCCCAGGGCCGCAGCACUGACGGUACCUGGGGAGGAAGGCCCGGCCAACUACGUGCCAGCAGCCGCGGUAAUACGUAGGGGCCGAGCGUUGUCCGGAGUUACUGGGCGUAAAGCGCGCGCAGGUGGCUCAUUACGCCCGGCGUGAAAGCCCCCGGCCUAACCGGGGAGGGUCGUCGGGGACGGGUGAGCUUGAGGGUAUCAGGGGCUGGUGGAAUUCCCGGUGUAGUGGUGAAAUGCGUAGAGAUCGGGAGGAACACCCGUGGCGAAGGCGGCCAGCUGGGAUACACCUGACACUGAGGCGCGAAGGCGUGGGGAGCGAACG